UGCUGUAAUGAAUAGAAACUGAUGAGAGGGUAGAUGAGAAUUUCAGGCAAGGCUUUACUGGUACUCCUGCUGCAGCACAUGGUAGUGAAAACAAGUUACAGAUUUCCUUGUUCAUUCCCAGAGGGUUAUCAGUUACUAAAAUGGGGUGUGGGUAGGGCUAAUCCGUGGGUUGGGCCAGAGUGCGGUCUCAGGUGAUCUGUCCACCCCCUUGGUGCCUCUGGGCACGGGUUGAAUGUGCAGUAUCCUGCUUCUCCUCCUGCCACCUGAGAAGAGGCUAUUGGGCUUUUGGUCUCUUCAGUCCUCAAUAUUACAAAUGCAACAUUGCAUAAAGUCAGUUCCUUUCUUCUUGUCAUCUACACUCCUCAGCCUGUUUAUCUUCAUCACAAACUGGGUCCCUGGAACACUGUCAUUAAGGGCUGAGAGGUGAAGAUACAUUAGAUAAGAAAAUAGCAGACAGGGACCCUGAAGCACUUUAAGAAACCCCAGUCUGCAGGAAAUCCUCAUCUUGGCUCCAAUCAUCAGAAAACCUGUUCUUUACCAAAGUGGUAAACUUUCCUCUGGAUGACAUUCAUUUAACUGCAUGGACAGAAGAUGGAAGCUCUGGGUAGAAGCUGACAGAAAUUUUGUAGAACACCAUACUCAGCUUACGGGUUACUGGUCUAGAACAAAGAAUACAAAAAAUUCCAGGGACUCUGAUAAAUUAUCAAAAAUUUACUUUCAAGUUCAGAAAACUAUUUUAGCCUCUUCAAGAUCAUGUGUCCAACUACAAAAUAGAUGAGAGUCAGGCAAUCACUUUUUUAUAAUUGUCAUAGAGUUUUGUGAGCAAUAAAAUGUUGUGUUACUUUUU